rnacentral:rRNA from 1 species
CACGUAGGCGGAUUGGUCAGUUAGGGGUGAAAUCCCAGAGCUCAACUCUGGAACUGCCUUUAAUACUGCCAGUCUUGAGUCCGAGAGAGGUGAGUGGAACUCCGAGUGUAGAGGUGAAAUUCGUAGAUAUUCGGAAGAACACCAGUGGCGAAGGCGGCUCACUGGCUCGGUACUGACGCUGAGGUGCGAAAGCGUGGGGAGCAAACA